UACGUAGGGGGCUAGCGUUGUCCGGAAUCAUUGGGCGUAAAGAGCGUGUAGGCGGUCCGGUAAGUCCGCUGUGAAAGUCGGGGGCUCAACCCUCGAAUGCCGGUGGAUACUGUCGGGCUAGAGUGCGGAAGAGGGGAGUGGAAUUCCUGGUGUAGCGGUGAAAUGCGCAGAUAUCAGGAGGAACACCUAUUGCGAAGGCAGCUCGCUGGGACGCAACUGACGCUGAGGAGCGAAAGCGUGGGGAGCGAACAGG
rnacentral:rRNA from 1 species